rnacentral:ncRNA from 10 species
UUUAAGCCAUGCGACUGACGGAAGUGGUGGAACCACGUGGAGCAUGGCCGGGUGCCUGCGGGCGUCCCUCUUGCCGACCGUCUGGGCGCACUCA